AUGAGAGAGUGGCUACUCUUCCUUAUAUGCUGGUCAUAACCUCUUCCCACUAGUGAGGUGGGACUAAAGUCACUGCAACGCUUGCCCCAGGACGCCGCCGGCAGCCACCACGCGUCAUGAUUAGCAGAUUGCUCCCCCGACGUCUGCCGACCCUGUUGUCCCCAUCUGCAGCCUCUCGGCUUCCACUCCGACGCUGUCCCGGGCUCCGCCACCACCGCCGUCAUCCCGGCUGCCCCCAUCGUGCGGAUCUUGGUAUUGAUUUGAUUUGUGUAUCCCCAUCGAAGGACAUGGAUAAAGGUACAUGAGGUAUUGUUUUGAUUUUUGUAUCCCCAUUGUGGGCUGUGGACAGUGGAUGUUGUUCUCUUGAUUUUGAUUUUGGAUCUCGUGGUUAUCUUCGAAUGAGAGGUACAUGUACUUUGAUUGAUCCAUGAGGUACUUUGGUUGAUGAGGUACUGUGAUUGAUGAGAUAUUUAGGAAGGUAAUGUGAUUUUUGAGUGUACCAUCAUGUACCAUGGAUACAUGAGGAGGUAAUAGUUUUUUAUGAACGUUUGUGCUGUGAUUUUGUCUUGGUA